UAGAGUGACCAACUGUCCUGGUUUGCCUGGGACUGAGAGGCUUCUGAGGACAUGGAACUUUCAGUGUUAAAACCAGGGCAGUC
rnacentral:miRNA from 1 species